UAUUUUUCCCAUUAAAAAAAACUGUCGUGAACAUUGUUUUUUAAACACAGCUAUAAUUCUUUCUUUAGGGCAAAUUUCUCAAAACGGAAUUGCUGGAUCAAAGGAGAUGUACACAUAGAAGACUUUUGUUAUGUCCUGCUUCAUUUCCCUCCUGGAAGAUGCAUCAACCUCUACGCCCACCAGCAGCCAAGUGCUAAUUUUUGAAAGUACACUGUAAUGCAUCCAAUGUAGACAAUGGUGUGGGUGAAUUUAAAGCUGCUUUUUAGUAAAUUCACAAGGAAAUAUCUGAGUCGGUUAAAAAGAAGUUCCUCUUUUCCGACUACAUUUCCAGUCAUAGGAACAAUGAGAUCCUCGGGAAGAUACAAAAAUGAAUGUGACAACCCUGGCGUACGACUGCUUCAGGAAAUCUUCAUAUUCUCUCUGACUUUGGAGCAACUAGAGAAACUUUUAAACAAAGAAUUGCUUAACGUUCAUCAUGAUGGAUCCAGGUCCUAUCACCCCAGGCUCUUUCCUAAGGCCUGGCCCUCACUCCUACUGUUCUUUCCUCCUGCUGUCAUCUCCUCAGGUCUCUGGAACAUUCCAAUAGACCAAAUUUGGAAAAGAAAGCCAUUACAUUGUGGAAAAUUUAAAGGCUAAGACAUUCCAAAGACAAAUGGUAAGAAAUGACUGAGAAGCAGAAAGAACUAAUGAGGUGAUCAUAGUGCUGACUGUGACCCCCAGGACAGAGCAAAGACUAAAACAAACUCUUGGAAAGCUACUGCAUUAAAAAUAAUAACAGACUUCAUUUGGCCCAAGAAAAUUAUGGAAAUUAGCGCAGUUAUAUAUGAAAUAACAUCCUUAUUGUUCACACAAAUAACCAGAGCCAUGCUUAUUAAAGUUCAUAUUAUGCUUUUCUUUGUGGAAGACAAAGAGCUCUGAGAAUAUGACCUCAUGAGUGCCCAAUUAUUAAAGUUUGCAGCCUGGAUUAAAGGAACACAAGCAGAUGGAGUGCCAACCACCUGAAGUUUUUUUCCUUCU
rnacentral:lncRNA from 1 species